rnacentral:rRNA from 1 species
AGAACGAACGCUGGCGGCAUGCCUAAUACAUGCAAGUCGAACGAAGGCUUCGGCCUUAGUGGCGCACGGGUGCGUAACGCGUGGGAAUCUGCCCCUUGGUUCGGAAUAACAGUUGGAAACGACUGCUAAUACCGGAUGAUGACGAAAGUCCAAAGAUUUAUCGCCAAGGGAUGAGCCCGCGUAGGAUUAGCUAGUUGGUGAGGUAAAGGCUCACCAAGGCGACGAUCCUUAGCUGGUCUGAGAGGAUGAUCAGCCACACUGGGACUGAGACACGGCCCAGACUCCUACGGGAGGCAGCAGUAGGGAAUAUUGGACAAGUGGGCGAAAGCCUGAUCAGCAAUGCCGCGUGAGUGAUGAAGCGUUAGGUUGUAAAGGCUCGUUUACCGAGAUAGAUAAUGA